GAUGAACGCUGGCGGCGUGCCUAAUACAUGCAAGUCGAGCGAACGGACGAGAAGCUUGCUUCUCUGAUGUUAGCGGCGGACGGGUGAGUAACACGUGGAUAACCUACCUAUAAGACUGGGAUAACUUCGGGAAACCGGAGCUAAUACCGGAUAAUAUUUUGAACCGCAUGGUUCAAAAGUGAAAGACGGUCUUGCUGUCACUUAUAGAUGGAUCCGCGCUGCAUUAGCUAGUUGGUAAGGUAACGGCUUACCAAGGCAACGAUGCAUAGCCGACCUGAGAGGGUGAUCGGCCACACUGGAACUGAGACACGGUCCAGACUCCUACGGGAGGCAGCAGUAGGGAAUCUUCCGCAAUGGGCGAAAGCCUGACGGAGCAACGCCGCGUGAGUGAUGAAGGUCUUCGGAUCGUAAAACUCUGUUAUUAGGGAAGAACAUAUGUGUAAGUAACUGUGCACAUCUUGACGGUACCUAAUCAGAAAGCCACGGCUAACUACGUGCCAGCAGCCGCGGUAAUACGUAGGUGGCAAGCGUUAUUCCGGAAUUACUGGGCGUAAAGCGCGCGUAGGCGGUUUUUUAGUCUGAUGUGAAAGCCCACGGCUCAACCCGUGGAGGGUCAUUGGAAACUGGAAAACUUGAGUGCAGAAGAGGAAAGUGGAAUUCCAUGUGUAGCGGUGAAAUGCGCAGAGAUAUGGAGGAACACCAGUGGCGAAGGCGACUUUCUGGUCUGUAACUGACGCUGAUGUGCGAAAGCGUGGGGAUCAAACAGGAUUAGAUACCCUGGUAGUCCACGCCGUAAACGAUGAGUGCUAAGUGUUAGGGGGUUUCCGCCCCUUAGUGCUGCAGCUAACGCAUUAAGCACUCCGCCUGGGGAGUACGACCGCAAGGUUGAAACUCAAAGGAAUUGACGGGGACCCGCACAAGCGGUGGAGCAUGUGGUUUAAUUCGAAGCAACGCGAAGAACCUUACCAAAUCUUGACAUCCUUUGACAACUCUAGAGAUAGAGCUUUCCCCUUCGGGGGACAAAGUGACAGGUGGUGCAUGGUUGUCGUCAGCUCGUGUCGUGAGAUGUUGGGUUAAGUCCCGCAACGAGCGCAACCCUUAAGCUUAGUUGCCAUCAUUAAGUUGGGCACUCUAAGUUGACUGCCGGUGACAAACCGGAGGAAGGUGGGGAUGACGUCAAAUCAUCAUGCCCCUUAUGAUUUGGGCUACACACGUGCUACAAUGGACAAUACAAAGGGCAGCGAAACCGCGAGGUCAAGCAAAUCCCAUAAAGUUGUUCUCAGUUCGGAUUGUAGUCUGCAACUCGACUACAUGAAGCUGGAAUCGCUAGUAAUCGUAGAUCAGCAUGCUACGGUGAAUACGUUCCCGGGUCU
rnacentral:rRNA from 1 species